rfam:Triticum aestivum genome assembly, contig: Triticum_aestivum_CS42_TGACv1_scaffold_130611_2BL
GUACUAUUCCCUCCCUCCCAAAAUUCUUGUCUUACAUUUGUUUAGAUACGGAUGUAUCUAACACUAAAAUGGAACUAGAUACAUCCAUAUUUAGACAAAUUUAAGAGAAGAAUUUUGGGACGGAGGGAGUACAAA